rnacentral:sRNA from 1 species
AACCCCCCGCUAGGCGGGGGGUUCAAAAAAGCUUUUAGCUUUGAGUAUGUUAUCAAACUCCUUUUGAUUUGCUAAAAAUGAGUUGCGGUCUGACAGCUGCAACGAACACAAAUCAAAA